rnacentral:misc_RNA from 1 species
GUGAAUCAUCGAAUCUUUGAACGCAUAUUGCACUCUCUGGUAUUCCGGAGAGUAUGCCUGUUUGAGGGUCAUUUAAUUAAAAAUCGCGGGUGUGGUCUCCUUUAUAGUGGUGAUGCUUCGGAAUUGAGUCGUCUUACUUGUUGUUAUGUGACUUAAGAUUUGUGGAUGAUAUCUAAUGUAUGUAGAUUUAUUUGGUACGUUUUUAAUAUCAAAUAUUUAUUAGGUUUGGUCAUGUUCAUGACUCACUUCCUGUAGUUUUUCAGCUAAUGACUUCAAAUCAGGUAAGA